GCUUGCUUCGCCAGUACAUAUACUAAAAUUGGAAUGAUACAGAAAAGAUUAGCAUAGCCUCUGCACAAGAAUGACAUGCAAAAUCAUGAAUUCUGUAUUUUA